rnacentral:rRNA from 1 species
AGGGCGAAGCCUGAUGGAGCAACGCCGCGUGAGUGAGAAGGUUUUCGGAUCGUAAAACUCUGUUGUMAGGGAAGAACARGUACAGUAGUAACUGGCUGUACCUUGACGGUACCUUAUUARAAAGCCACGGCUAACUACGUGCCAGCAGCCGCGGUAAUACGUAGGUGGCAAGCGUUGUCCGGAAUUAUUGGGCGUAAAGCGCGCGCAGGCGGUCCUUUAAGUCUGAUGUGAAAGCCCACGGCUCAACCGKGGAGGGUCAUUGGAAACUGGGGGACUUGAGUGCAGAAGAGGAAAGUGGAAUUCCAAGUGUAGCGGUGAAAUGCGUAGAGAUUUGGAGGAACACCAGUGGCGAAGGCGACUUUCUGGUCUGUAACUGACGCUGAGGCGCGAAAGCGUGGGGAGCAAACAGGAUUAGAUACCCUGGUAGUCCACGCCGUAAACGAUGAGUGCUAAGUGUUAGGGGGUUUCCGCCCCUUAKUGCUGCASCUAACGCAUUAAGCACUCCGCCKGGGGAGUACGGUCGCAAGACUGAAACUCAAAGGAAUUGACGGCGGGCGGGG